CCUACGGGAGGCAGCAGUGGGGAAUAUUGCACAAUGGGGGAAACCCUGAUGCAGCAACGCCGCGUGAAGGAAGACGGUUUUCGGAUUGUAAACUUCUGUUCUUAGUGAAGAAGAAUGACGGUAGCUAAGGAGCAAGCCACGGCUAACUACGUGCCAGCAGCCGCGGUAAUACGUAGGGGGCAAGCGUUAUCCGGAAUUACUGGGUGUAAAGGGAGCGUAGACGGUGAUGCAAGUCUGGAGUGAAAGGCGGGGGCCCAACCCCCGGACUGCUCUGGAAACUGUGUAACUUGAGUGCAGGAGAGGUAAGCGGAAUUCCUAGUGUAGCGGUGAAAUGCGUAGAUAUUAGGAGGAACACCAGUGGCGAAGGCGGCUUACUGGACUGUAACUGACGUUGAGGCUCGAAAGCGUGGGGAGCAAAUAGGAUUAGAUACCCCUGUAGUC
rnacentral:rRNA from 1 species